rnacentral:tRNA from 1 species
GGGGGAGUGGUGUAACGGUCAGCACAUUGCGUUUCUAACCCCAAAGGAGUGAGUUCAAGUCUCACCUUCUCCAUCA